rnacentral:rRNA from 1 species
UUGAAAGGGAAACGAUUGAAGUCAGUCGUGCUGGCGCGAAAUCAACCUUCUCGUCGAGAGAUCACAUGGCGUGGCGAGCCUCAAAACCGUCGCGAAGCGUGAACUCUUGGUGAAAUGGAGCACUUUCGUGUCCGCUGGUUAACAUCAAUUUCGAUCGUCAUAAAAAGGCUGGAGGGAUGUGGCUCCUUCGGGAGUGUUAUAACCUUUAGCGGAAUGUGGUGAUCGGGAUUGAGGAUUGCAACGAAUACCUUUAGGGCUGUUCCACCUGGCUUCUCUUUGGCAUCCUGGUGACGACAGCUUGCUGACGUCGUCAGGAUUCGCCUUUGAACAGGUUAGAGUGUGAGCAAAUUCGUUAAGGAUGUUGACGUA